CAAAACGUAGCUUAAUUUUAAAGCAUCUCUUUUACACUGAGAAAAUACUUGUGAAAAACAAGCCGUUUUGA
rnacentral:tRNA from 1 species